rnacentral:RNase_P_RNA from 1 species
CCAGAGGGUCGGGCGGCCGCGGGUGCGCAAGCACGCGAGGAAAGUCCGGGCUCCACGGAAAUACGGUGCCGGGUAACGCCCGGCGGGGGCGACCCCAGGGAAAGUGCCACAGAGAGCAGACCGCCCACUGGACCCGCUGUUUUUGGACGGCGGGGCUAAGGGUAAGGGUGAAAGGGUGCGGCAAGAGCGCACCGCGCGACCGGUAACGGAAGCGGCAUGGUAAACCCCACCGGGAGCAAGACCGAAUAGGGACGGCACAUGGGGUGUUCCGCCUCGUCGUCCGGGUUGGUUGCUUGAGGGGCGGAGUAAUCCGUCUCCUAGAGGAAUGGCCGCACAUCGCCGCAAGGCGAGGACAGAACCCGGCUUACAGACCCUCUGGCAAU